UGGGGAAUUUUGGGCAAUGGGCGAAAGCCUGACCCAGCAACGCCGCGUGAAGGAUGAAGUAUUUCGGUAUGUAAACUUCGAAAGAAUAGGAAGAAUAAAUGACGGUACUAUUUAUAAGGUCCGGCUAACUACGUGUCAGCAGCCGCGGUAAUACGUAGGGACCAAGCGUUGUUCGGAUUUACUGGGCGUAAAGGGCGCGUAGGCGGCAAUUCAAGUCAUCUGUGAAAUCUCCGGGCUUAACUCGGAACGGUCAGAUGAUACUGCUUUGCUAGAGUGCAGAAGGGGCAAUCGGAAUUCUUGGUGUAGCGGUGAAAUGCGUAGAUAUCAAGAGGAACACCUGAGGUGAAGACGGGUUGCUGGGCUGACACUGACGCUGAGGCGCGAAAGCCAGGGGAGCAAACGGGAUUAGAUACCCAAGUAGUCCCUGAGCGGGCUGGCAAGGCGCAU
rnacentral:rRNA from 1 species